rnacentral:rRNA from 1 species
AUUGAACGCUGGCGGCGUGCCUAAUACAUGCAAGUCGAGCGAAUGGAUUAAGAGCUUGCUCUUAUGAAGUUAGCGGCGGACGGGUGAGUAACACGUGGGUAACCUGCCCAUAAGACUGGGAUAACUCCGGGAAACCGGGGCUAAUACCGGAUAACAUUUUGAACCGCAUGGUUCGAAAUUGAAAGGCGGCUUCGGCUGUCACUUAUGGAUGGACCCGCGUCGCAUUAGCUAGUUGGUGAGGUAACGGCUCACCAAGGCAACGAUGCGUAGCCGAGCUGAGAGGGUGAUCGGCCACACUGGGACUGAGACACAGCCCAGACUCCUACGGGAGGCAGCAGUAGGGAAUCUUCCGCAAUGGACGAAAGUCUGACGGAGCAACGCCGCGUGAGUGAUGAAGGCUUUCGGGUCGUAAAACUCUGUUGUUAGGGAAGAACAAGUGCUAGUUGAAUAAGCUGGCACCUUGACGGUACCUAACCAGAAAGCCACGGCUAACUACGUGCCAGCCGCCGCGGUAA